GACGAACGCUGGCGGCGUGCUUAACACAUGCAAGUCGAACGGAAAGGCCCUGCUUUUGUGGGGUGCUCGAGUGGCGAACGGGUGAGUAACACGUGAGUAACCUGCCCUUGACUUUGGGAUAACUUCAGGAAACUGGGGCUAAUACCGGAUAGGAGCUCCUGCUGCAUGGUGGGGGUUGGAAAGUUUCGGCGGUUGGGGAUGGACUCGCGGCUUAUCAGCUUGUUGGUGGGGUAGUGGCUUACCAAGGCUUUGACGGGUAGCCGACCUGGGAGGGUGACCGGCCACAUUGGGACUGAGAUACGGCCCAGACUCCUACGGGAGGCAGCAGUGGGGAAUAUUGCACAAUGGGCGGAAGCCUGAUGCAGCAACGCCGCGUGCGGGAUGACGGCCUUCGGGUUGUAAACCGCUUUCGCCUGUGACGAAGCGUGAGUGACGGUAAUGGGUAAAGAAGCACCGGCUAACUACGUG
rnacentral:rRNA from 1 species